rnacentral:rRNA from 1 species
UACGUAGGGUGCAAGCGUUGUCCGGAAUUAUUGGGCGUAAAGAGCUCGUAGGCGGUUUGUUGCGUCGGCUGUGAAAUCCCGAGGCUCAACCUCGGGUCUGCAGUCGAUACGAGCAAACUAGAGUGUUGCAGGGGAGACUGGAAUUCCCGGUGUAGCGGUGAAAUGUGUAGAGAUCGGGAGGAACACCGGUGGCGAAGGCGGGUCUCUGGGCAUUUCCUGACGCUGAGGAGCGAAAGUGUGGGGAGCGAACAGG